CUAGCUUCUGCUAAUAUGGAUUUCAAGGAUAAUUUUUUAACACUGAUAGCUUAACAUAUUAUUGACUUAAUGAUAUGAUCAAGUGGCAAUCAGGACUCCUUUAAAUGUGGGUGAGGUUUCUAUUUUUUUGAGAAGGAGCAAUAUAAUAGUUUAAAAUUACAUUAAACAAUGAAGGUGUGUUUUAAGCACUGGGACAUAAGACCAGGAUUUACAUUGCUAUGUUUGCUGCUGUAUUCUCAACUUGUAGAUGGAUGCCUGGCACACAGUAGGUGGAUAUUUGUUAAAGCAAUGAAGAACGACAUGUGAAUGGAAAAUGAUGUGGCAAUACAGAAUUGUGACUAUCCUACUCAAUGUGAUGACGAUGAAGACCUUAAUGAUGAUCUAUUUCCUCUCAAUGAAUAAUAGUGCACAACACGGGCCAAUGAACACAGAAUUCUGGUGGACCUACUAUGCCUGGGAUUUCAGUGAGACUCAAAGUGAGUGCAAGUCACCAUCAUAAAGAUUCAAUAUUCAAGACCACGAAGAAGAACCCAGACCAGGGAUUGCUUCAUUUGGAUUCCACCUACCGCAGUUGUUACAUCUAAGUAGGGACAACGAAAAUCUCCUGCUAUGGUCUUGAUCCUAGUCAGUAAAAGAGCAAAUUCCAAGCCUCCUAAGGGGCAUUUUCAUCCUUCCCCAUCUGUCCUUACAGAUAAGGAAGAGAUUCCAGGAAUGACUCGGUUCCUGGAACCUAGAAUUAGUCCCCCUUGUUUUCUUUAUCUAUCCAAAUCCUGUCUUAGGGAUCAACUUUCACAAGCUUUCUCUCCUUAAAGACUUUCACCUCGAAUUACCUUUUUUUUUUGUCAUAUUCCUAUUCCUAUCUGGAGUCACACUCUUGAGAACCUUCUAUACUUUCGUCAUGCAUUUAUUAGCAGAUAUCUAUAAAGUUCCUACAGUGUGUCAGGCACUGUGCUAGGCGCUAGUGCAACAAUGAUGAAUGCUAUACACAUCCACCUCACCCUUUUAUAGUUUAUAGUAUCAUGGGGAGAUGGAGAAGUAGAUGCUCAAUAAACACAUUUUGUCUGAUGGGUAUACCUUGAAACAGCAAAAGUAAAGUCUGUUUCAUCAUAAUUUGAUCCGUUCACAUUUAUGGGCCAGAUCCUGUGGUAGACCUGGGAUACAAAGAUGAACUAAACAGAGACUCUGCUCUCAAGAGUUUAUAUAAUCUGCAUUUGCAGGUUAUAAUAAACUCUGAUCUGCAUCUUUGGGCAAAAGCAUUCUUUUCUAGGUAUCUUAACCACGAUCUCAAGUAUGUGCUCUGUGUGUUUACUGACAUAUCAUCAAACACAGUCUGUAGGGAAAGUAAAUGAAAUACGAACCAAAGGCGCCAGUCCUUGGAGUGUUGUGGCUUCCUCUGCCUCGUAGAGAUAGAAAUUCAAAGGAGCAAAGAAGUAGCCAGGGGCUGGUUCAGAGCAGCUACGGCCAGUGACAUGUGGGCGGCAUUCACACUGCCCAUUCUUGGGUGAGCACCUGAGGAAAAAGCAAUUCAUCAUGAAAAAAUGCAAAGUAGGUGAGCGGAAAAUGAAGGUGUAGGGGUGCUGGGCUAAUGCUCCCUGAGUUUGGAGCAAUCCUUAGAAUCAGUCAAUCAAUGGUCCUGUGGGAAGAUGCAGAAAGGCCAUGGGUUUAACAUAACUGGUCUUGAAUAGUGAAUCCAGGGCCAUGGAGCCCAGGCGGCCACUUUCCCCACCCUCCGCCCCCAACCCCCCACUGCCAGGUUCUGCUCUAAAAUCUGGCAAAAAGGGGGCUUUAGGAUCUCUCUUUACAACAUGGCAAAAAGCUGGUGUUUUAGGCAGGUCACACGUAUUCAAGCACCCAUGCCACCAGCUUGUGGUGGGAUACCCAGCAGAAGGAUUGUUUACCUCACCCUUGGAAAUAUUUGAAGUGAAAGAAAUCAAUGGGCUGUAGUUAAUGUCUCAAGAUCAUUGCUUGUCAUGGAAUGAAAUUUUUCACCUAUGACUAUGAGCGUAUCAGAAUAAAAUGUGCUUUUAUGUUUAAAUAAGGAAUAUUGCUAUAAAACUUAUUUGACUUACACGUUAGAAUAAGCACCUCCAAUAUCACAGUCACAGGGAGAACACCCAUGGAGAUGAUUUCCCAGGCCCCAGUAUCCAACCUACAGAGAAAAAAUGCUCAGCUGAUUCCAGCUAUGAAGAUGCUGUUGCUCUGAAGUGCAACACUGAAAUCACUACAAUGCAAUUGCCACACGUCAAAUAGCCAAACAGCCUGCACCAUCUCAGAGAAACCUUCCUGGCCUAUGCGCUUGGCUAAUGAUCUUCCAUGGACACAUCUCCCAUCUCCAGGAUUUGA
rnacentral:lncRNA from 10 species